rnacentral:rRNA from 1 species
UACAGAGGAUGCAAGCGUUAUCCGGAAUGAUUGGGCGUAAAGCGUCCGCAGGUGGUUUUGUAAGUCUGCUGUUAAAGCGUUAGGCUCAACCUAAUAAGGGCAGUGGAAACUAUGAGACUAGAGUAUGUUAGGGGUAGAGGGAAUUCCCAGUGUAGCGGUGAAAUGCGUAGAGAUUGGGAAGAACACCGGUGGCGAAAGCGCUCUGCUAGGACAAUACUGACACUGAGGGACGAAAGCUAGGGGAGCGAAUGAG